UACGUAGGGGGCAAGCGUUGUCCGGAAUCAUUGGGCGUAAAGCGCGUGUAGGCGGCCCGGUAAGUCCGCUGUGAAAGUCGGGGGCUCAACCCUCGAAUGCCGGUGGAUACUGUCGGGCUAGAGUGCGGAAGAGGCGAGUGGAAUUCCUGGUGUAGCGGUGAAAUGCGCAGAUAUCAGGAGGAACACCUGCGGCGAAGGCGGGUUGCUGGGCUGAUACUGACGCUGAGGCGCGAAAGCCAGGGGAGCGAACGGG
rnacentral:rRNA from 1 species